GAGUUUGAUCUUGGCUCAGAACGAACGCUGGCGGCAGGCUUAACACAUGCAAGUCGAACGGACGUAGCAAUACGUUAGUGGCGCACGGGUGAGUAACGCGUGGAUAUCUGCCUUUUGGUUCGGGAUAACCUUGGGAAACUAGGGCUAAUACCGAAUGGUUCCUACGGGAUAAAGAUUUAUCGCCAAAAAGAUGAGUCCGCGUCCGAUUAGCUAGUUGGCGGGGUAACGGCCCACCAAGGCGACGAUCGGUAGCUGGUCUGAGAGGACGAUCAGCCACACUGGGACUGAGACACGGCCCAGACUCCUACGGGAGGCAGCAGUGGGGAAUAUUGGACAAUGGGGGCAACCCUGAUCCAGCCAUGCCGCGUGAGUGAUGAAGGCCUUCGGGUUGU
rnacentral:rRNA from 1 species